rnacentral:rRNA from 1 species
GACGAACGUUGGCGGCGUGCUUAAUACAUGCAAGUCAACUGAAGCAGUGGUAGCAAUAUCGCUGUGGAGGUGGCGCACGGGGGAGUAACACGUAGGUAAUCUGCCUUCAGGUCUGGCAUAACUCCGGGAAACCGGGGCUAAUAGCAGAUGAUGCAGCGGCUCGACAUCGAGACAGUUGUUAAAGCUAUGGCGCCUGAAGAUGAGCCUGCGUCUGAUUAGCUAGUUGGCGGGGUAACGGCCCACCAAGGCAACGAUCAGUAGCUGGUCUGAGAGGAUGAUCAGCCACACUGGAACUGAGACACGGUCCAGACUCCUACGGGAGGCAGCAGUAAGGAAUAUUGCUCAAUGGGAGAAAUACUGAAGCAGCAACGCCGCGUGAGGGACGAAGGGCUUUUGCUUGUAAACCUCUGUAGUGAGAGAAAAAAAUCCCAAUCUUUGGGACAUGAUGGUAUCUCAAAAGUAAGCCCCGGCUAACUACGUG